ACUUUCUCGGCCUUAAGCUUGCGUAGGCUGCAGCAGGGUACGUUAAAUAAUUAAAAAAAUACGGGGUUUGAUGUCGUCGAUAUGUAAAUUAGUUAAUUUGCAUCACAAGAACUACGUAUAAUUGUUAUCAAGUUUGAUGUGAUGGACCCUUUUGAGUAAUUUUGUUGGUUUGUUUUUUUUUUAAAAAAAAAAAAUAGGAUCGUUUCUUGAGAUCUUGAUAGAAAGCAUAGGAGGAAAGUGAGGCGUGCAGCUCUCUCUAUUAUCGACAUUGUAUAAUUUGAGAAGAGAAAGAAGAGACAAUUAUCGACACAACUUGCAUAUUCCCUUUUAAUUAUAAUCCUGGAUCAAGAUUCUCUAUUCUUAAUUGUGUAAUUGAUUUAUGGGGAAUGAAUCAGCAUCCCUAAAAUUACACUAAUCUUGACAUAAUGACAUCAUCGGUUAAAAACGUUCAGAUUUAUGGUUAAUCAAUGGUUUGAGAUUUGUUAUCAUUAAUGCUAAAUAUUUUUUAACAUUUUUUCUAUCUCUCUCUCCUGAAGGAUUUUCUAGGAAAAUGCAUCCACAACAAAAAUUUUAAAUUGUAAACAACAAACAAAGUAUAAACGUUAAAUCUAAGGAACUGCGUUGCAUUUCAGCUGAAGCUAACUUUAAUAUUUUACGGAGAAAAAUAAUUAAGUCUUUAAUGUGAUUUAUUUAUUAAUAUAUAUGACUAAUUUUUUAAAAUAAGAUGAAGGAUGAAGCAGAAAAAUAUAAAUUAUAGAAUUAAUUUCUCUCUUCAAUAAAUCUAAAGUUUAUUUUUUUAUUACAUGCUUCUAUUUUAUUUUUAUUCCAUGUUAAUGAAUGGAGAUUUAAAUCCAUUUUGGAUUUAUAAAGAUGUUUAGAUAUCUAAAUCCACGUGUGAUUCCAAACUUGAACCUUUUUUUUUCUAAUUAAUGCAAGCCGCCUCUUUGACUGCUUUUCUUCUUUGAUUAUUAAUUAAUUAAUUCAGCUGCCCACCUUUCUUUUCCUAAUGUUUUCUACUCUCAAAUUUUUUGAAGGACAAGGCUACGUUGCAGACGCUCUUAGCUAGGCUUUGGCAAAAUUUUGGGUCCGGUCCGGGUUUGAUGCAACCUGGGACUAGAUCGGACGCAAAAAAUUAAAACCUGGACCCGGAUAAAACCCAGCUGUAUGUCCGGUACGAGCUUGAGCCCGGCGUGUCCCGGGUCCGGGUUUUGUCUUCCGGGCUUCUAAGCCCGCAAACAAUUCUUUCGAAAAGAAGACAAAAGGCACAGGGCUAUUAGCAGUGGCAGAACAUGAAGAUGAAGAGAUGAAAUGAAAUGGCUGUCACAAAAGCAUGCAUGGUGAUGGGUACAUCACUACGUCUUAAACAAACAAAAACACAACAACAAAAGAACACAAAACACAGCCUUUUUUUUUUCUUUUUAUUUUUUUUUCCUUGAAUCUUAUUUUUGUUUCUUUCUUUCCUUCAACCCAUUCCCAUAUAUCUUUAAUCAACAAUGACAGUGAUGGAAAUAGUUCAAUCGGAGCAACUGAAACAGCUCAAAGACAUAUUCAUGCGUUUCGACAUGGACUUGGACGGCAGCCUCACGCAGCUGGAACUGGCCGCACUCCUGCGCGCCCUGGGGCUCAAGCCAACCGGCGACCAGCUGCACAUUUUGUUGGCCGACAUGGAUUCCAACGGCAACGGCCUCGUCGAAUUUGACGAAUUGGUUGCUCUAAUACUCCCCGACAUCAGCGAGCAAGUCUUGGUCAACCAAGAACAACUCAUGGAGGUCUUUCGGUCCUUCGAUCGCGACGGCAACGGCCAAAUCACUGCGGCCGAGCUCGCGGGCUCCAUGGCCAAAAUGGGCCACCCUUUGACGUACGGCGAGCUAUCGGAGAUGAUGAGGGAGGCCGACACCAAUGGCGACGGUGUCAUUAGUUUUAAUGAGUUCGCUACCAUUAUGGCAAAGUCUGCUGCCGACUUUCUCGGCCUUAAGCUUGCGUAGGCUGCAGCAGGGUACGUUAAAUAAUUAAAAAAAUACGGGGUUUGAUGUCGUCGAUAUGUAAAUUAGUUAAUUUGCAUCACAAGAACUACGUAUAAUUGUUAUCAAGUUUGAUGUGAUGGACCCUUUUGAGUAAUUUUGUUGGUUUGUUUUUUUUUUAAAAAAAAAAAAUAGGAUCGUUUCUUGAGAUCUUGAUAGAAAGCAUAGGAGGAAAGUGAGGCGUGCAGCUCUCUCUAUUAUCGAC
rnacentral:lncRNA from 1 species